rnacentral:rRNA from 1 species
UACCAGCUCUCCGAGUGGUGUGGAUGUUUAUUGGGCCUAAAGCAUCCGUAGCUGGCUGGACAAGUCCCCUGUUAAAUCCACCGAUUUAAUCGUUGGAGUGCGGGGGAUACUGUUCGGCUAGGGGACGGGAGAGGCAGACGGUAUUUUCGGGGUAGGGGUGAAAUCCUAUAAUCCCGGGAAGACCACCAGUGGCGAAGGCUGUUUGCUAGAACGCGCCCGACGGUGAGGGAUGAAAGCUGGGGGAGCGAACCGGAUUAGAUACCCGGGUAGUCCCAGCUGUAAACGAUGCAGGCUAGGUGUUUGGGCGGCCACGUGCCGCUCUAGUGCCGCAGGGAAGUCGUUAAGCCUGCCGCCUGGGGAGUACGGCCGCAAGGAUGAAACUUAAAGGAAUUGGCGGGGAGCACCACAAGGGGUGAAGCUUGCGGUUU